rnacentral:rRNA from 1 species
UACGUAGGCGCAAGCGUUGUCCGGAAUUAUUGGGCGUAAAGAGCUCGUAGGCGGUCUGUCACGUCGGAAGUGAAAACCCGGGGCUUAACCCCGGGCUUGCUUUCGAUACGGGCAGACUAGAGUGUGGUAGGGGAGACUGGAAUUCCUGGUGUAGCGGUGAAAUGCGCAGAUAUCAGGAGGAACACCGGUGGCGAAGGCGGGUCUCUGGGCCGACUACUGACGCUGAGGAGCGAAAGCGUGGGGAGCGAACAGG